CGGACGGGUGAGUAAUGCUUGGGAAUCUGGCUUAUGGAGGGGGAUAACUACGGGAAACUGUAGCUAAUACCGCGUAAUAUCUUCGGAUUAAAGGGUGGGACUUUCGGGCCACCUGCCAUAAGAUGAGCCCAAGUGGGAUUAGGUAGUUGGUGGGGUAAAGGCCUACCAAGCCGACGAUCUCUAGCUGGUCUGAGAGGAUGACCAGCCACACUGGAACUGAGACACGGUCCAGACUCCUACGGGAGGCAGCAGUGGGGAAUAUUGCACAAUGGGGGGAACCCUGAUGCAGCCAUGCCGCGUGAAUGAAGAAGGCCUUCGGGUUGUAAAGUUCUUUCGGUGAUGAGGAAGGUGUUUGUUUUAAUAGAACAAGCAAUUGACGUUAGUCACAGAAGAAGCACCGGCUAACUCCGUGCCAGCAGCCGCGGUAAUACGGAGGGUGCGAGCGUUAAUCGGAAUGACUGGGCGUAAAGGGCACGCAGGCGGUGACUUAAGUGAGAUGUGAAAGCCCCGAGCUUAACUUGGGAAUUGCAUUUCAUACUGGGUUGCUAGAGUAUUUUAGGGAGGGGUAGAAUUCCACGUGUAGCGGUGAAAUGCGUAGAGAUGUGGAGGAAUACCGAAGGCGAAGGCAGCCCCUUGGGAAUAUACUGACGCUCAUGUGCGAAAGCGUGGGGAGCAAACAGGAUUAGAUACCCUGGUAGUCCCACGCUGUAACGCUGUCGAUUUGGGGAUUGGGCUUUAAGCUUGGUGCCCGUAGCUAACGUGAUAA
rnacentral:rRNA from 1 species